UGGUGCUUGGCUCAGUGGUAGAGUGCUUGCCUUGCAUGCCUGAGGCCCUGGGUUCAAUUCCUCAGCACCAC
rnacentral:tRNA from 1 species